UUUAAUAACAUCGAGAUGACUACUUUGCAG
rnacentral:piRNA from 1 species